rnacentral:rRNA from 1 species
CCUACGGGAGGCAGCAGUGGGGAAUUUUGGACAAUGGGCGAAAGCCUGAUCCAGCAAUGCCGCGUGAGUGAAGAAGGCCUUCGGGUUGUAAAGCUCUUUUGUCAGGGAAGAAACGGUGCGGGCUAAUAUCCUGCACUAAUGACGGUACCUGAAGAAUAAGCACCGGCUAACUACGUGCCAGCAGCCGCGGUAAUACGUAGGGUGCAAGCGUUAAUCGGAAUUACUGGGCGUAAAGCGUGCGCAGGCGGUUUUGUAAGUCUGUCGUGAAAUCCCCGGGCUCAACCUGGGAAUUGCGAUGGAGACUGCAAGGCUAGAAUCUGGCAGAGGGGGGUAGAAUUCCACGUGUAGCAGUGAAAUGCGUAGAGAUGUGGAGGAACACCGAGGGCGAAGGCAGCCCCCUGGGUCAAGAUUGACGCUCAUGCACGAAAGCGUGGGGAGCAAACAGGAUUAGAUACCCUGGUAGUCCACGCCCUAAACGAUGUCUACUAGUUGUCGGGUUUUAAUUAACUUGGUAACGCAGCUAACGCGUGAAGUAGACCGCCUGGGGAGUACGGUGCAAGAUUAAAACUCAAAGGAAUUGACGG